rnacentral:rRNA from 1 species
GAUCAUGGCUCAGGAUGAACGCUGGCGGCUGCCUAACACAUGCAAGCCAAGCGAUUCUCUUCGGGAGAAGAGCGGCGGACGGGUGAGUAACGCGUGGGUAACCUGCCCUGUACACACGGAUAACAUACCGAAAGGUAUGCUAAUACGAGAUAAUAUACUUUUAUCGCAUGGUAGAAGUAUCAAAGCUCCGGCGGUACAGGAUGGACCCGCGUCUGAUUAGCUAGUUGGUAAGGUAACGGCUUACCAAGGCGACGAUCAGUAGCCGACCUGAGAGGGUGAUCGGCCACAUUGGAACUGAGACACGGUCCAAACUCCUACGGGAGGCAGCAGUGGGGAAUAUUGCACAAUGGGCGAAAGCCUGAUGCAGCAACGCCGCGUGAGCGAUGAAGGCCUUCGGGUCGUAAAGCUCUGUCCUCAAGGAAGAUAAUGACGGUACUUGAGGAGGAAGCCCCGGCUAACUACGUG